ACUAAAAAGCUCUAUUUUCUCGCUGGCUACUCCCUCUCCCCGCCGUUCUGUCUAACUCUCUAGCCUAACUCUUUUUUAAUCUCUUCCUCCCCAACUAGGCAGCCAUCGUGACUACCACCCUUAAACGGCUCCGACGAGCUGCCAAUGCUUCUAAAACGCUCAAACUUCAACCCCCAACUCAAAACAUACCUAAACCCGAUGAAACAACCCUUUAAACUCCCAAAUAAAACCCAAGAGACGAAUUACCUUCGACUUAGGAGGUUUUGAUUCCGAGAGACGGUGACAAUCCCUUUCGAAUGGGAAAAGUUACUGAUGAAGAGAUGGGUUUUUUUGGUGCUCUGUUGAUGUGUUGUUUUUUUUUUUUGGAGAGAACGAUGGAUCCCCUCCUGUUGGUGUGUCUGAUCUACGGGUUUUGAGAGGGGCGCGUGGAAGCUUGGGAGGUGUGCAUGCAUCCAACGCACGAAUCCGAACGGUUUGAUGCUCCCUGUAUGAAUCUGGACCAUUGGAUCGCUGAUUGGAUCCAACGGUUGUAACACGUUGGCGGCAACAACAAUAUUCUAGGGUAAACAAACCCUAAAUCAGACCUAAUCUAGAUUGUUGAACUGCCCUUCAUACAAAGGCCGACGAUUGGCGGCGCACGGAUGAUGAGGAGGGCUAGGGUUUCUCUAAACCCUAAAUGUCUGGGCCAUCAGACUUAGGCCUAUAUAAUAUGCACCCUACAUAUAACUAAAUAACUAGCCCAAUAAUCUUUUGCA